AGGGCCAGAAACCAAAUUACUACUGUUGGAGGAUGGUCCAGCAGUAGCAUUAUCAUCAUCGUCUGCAAACAUGUCGUAUGCAUCAGCAUCAUUGUGUGAGGUAUGUCCAGCAGAUACAUUUGUGUUUGAACCACCCACAUCAGCAUUGGACAAAAUCGAGGAGCCUGCUCCAUGAUCUGUUAUAUCAGAGGACAAGUCCUUUCCCACACUGUAAGAAAUUUCCUGGCCUGCACUCGGAUAUGCGCUCUUCUCCCUAGCCAGAGCUAACUUCUCAUAUCCUUCUGCCUCCCGCUCGAAUACCUCCUGCUUGUCGUGAUAGACAUUGUAUUCGCCAUGAUCCAACAACUUGUUUGCAUCUUCAGUCAGCUGGUCAAAUAGAAGCUGUGUCUCAGCUGACAUCUUCUCUUUUCUCUUAUUUGAACCACCCUUCAACCUUCUCAAAGCUUGUAACACCGUUUCCCCUGGUUCAAGAAAGUUGGCAAUACGCCUCUUUAUUAUUCCAAUGUCUUCAGAUGAAAGUUCGCUUGAAUCAUUUUUAUUAUCAUCUUCUAUUGUUGUUACCAUAGAGCUUUUGCCAGCAAAUCUUGGAUCAACUUCAACACUAUCAAGCCAUGCAUCCUUGUGUUCAUUCUCAUUGACAUACUCAACAAAAUUUCCCUCUACAUCAAAGUAGCCUUCUUCCCUUUCUUGGUCAAGAUUGAAUGGUUCUAUUUGAAUCCCAUCUUCAACAAAAUUUUCAUUAUCCUCAUAAGUGACUUCAGCUGCAGAAGCCUCAUUGAGUUCUUCGCUAAAGAGUUCAGCAGUGAUAAGAUUACGACGCUUUGCACGCUCCUGCGCAGCCAAACGGGGAUCUUUCGUAUCGGUUGGAAUAUCUUCAACUUUGGCUCUACUCACUAUUGCUUCGUCCCCUGGCUUCACCUUCUUACCCUUGGGAAAUCGAAUUUUCUUCUGCUUGGGGGGUUUGUUGGAGUCGUCGUCCUCAUCUUCGCCUUCCAAGAAAGGACGCUUGCGAUUAGAGCGAGAAGGAAUCAUACCUUCCAUUGUUAAAGAAACAAGAACAGCUCUACGUAGCAAUUCCGAG
rnacentral:misc_RNA from 1 species